rnacentral:rRNA from 1 species
UACAGAGGGUGCGAGCGUUGUUCGGAAUUACUGGGCGUAAAGCGCGCGUAGGUGGUGUGUUAAGUCUGCCGGUCAAAUGCCGAGGCUCAACCUCGUUGCACGCCGGGGAUACUGGCACGCUAGAGACAAGUAGAGGCAAGCGGAAUUCCGGGUGUAGCGGUGGAAUGCGUAGAGAUCCGGAAGAACACCGAUGGCGAAGGCAGGUCUCUGGGCCGAUACUGACGCUGAGGAGCGAAAGCGUGGGGAGCGAACAGG